UUAGAAAAGAAUCCAACCGACAUUAAUUACCAGAAAACCAAACAAAAUUAAAAAAGAAAGGAAAUUUCACCGAUCUGAAAAAAGACCUGUUUGCACACUCUUCUCCUUCUCCUUCUCUCUCGUUCAUCAUCCAUGCACUGAUUCACCGUCUUUUCUCUGUUAUUGUACUAUAACAAUAACAACAAGGUGGAACCAACGCAGUUGAGGGCACUGAAGAAGAAGAAGAAAAAAUGGGAGGUUUUGCUAUUGGUUCUGCCUUUGAUUCCAAAUCUGGUCAGAUGAUAAUGGCUGCUUUGCUUUUGAUGUUUGUUUCCUUUUAUGGUGGUUACCUUUUUGGAAACAAUGCUCCUCUUUACGUCUCUCAUCUUCCCGACACUCUCUCUACUUCUAAUGGUACUUCCAGAUUUAGUAACAAAGUUGGUCUGACUUACCACAAAACUCCCUUGGUAAUUCCUGAAACUGGGGUGGAUGUAUGUCCCUUGAGGUUUAAUGAGUAUAUUCCUUGCCACGAUGUUUCCUAUGUGGCAACAUUGAUGUCUAAUCUUGAUGUUUCUAGAAAAGAAGAGUUGGAGAGACACUGUCCUCCACUUGAACAGCGAUUAUUUUGCUUGGUUCCACCACCAAAGGAUUAUAAAAUACCUAUCAAAUGGCCUCUUAGCAGAGAUUAUGUUUGGCGGAGUAAUGUGAAUCAUACACAUCUUGCAGAGGUCAAAGGAGGCCAAAAUUGGGUCCAUGAAAAGGAUCAGCUUUGGUGGUUUCCGGGUGGUGGUACACAUUUCAAGAAUGGAGCAUCCGAGUACAUAGAGAGGAUAGGACAUAUGAUUACAAACGACACUGGUGAUCUACGUUCUGCGGGGAUAGUUCAAGUUCUGGAUCUUGGCUGUGGUGUGGCCAGUUUUUCAGCUUAUCUUCUUCCCUUGGAUAUACGAACUAUGUCCUUUGCCCCCAAGGAUGGUCAUGAAAAUCAAAUUCAAUUUGCAUUAGAGAGAGGAAUUGGUGCAAUGAUCUCUGCCAUGUCCACAAAACAACUACCAUAUCCUACAGGGUCAUUUGAAAUGAUUCACUGUUCAAGAUGCCGCAUAGACUUCCAUGCAAAUGAUGGAAUUUUGCUGAAGGAGUUGGAUCGCCUUCUUCGCCCAAACGGUUAUUUUGUUUAUUCAGCACCACCUGCUUACAGAAAAGAUAAAGAUUUUCCUGCCAUUUGGGAUAAGUUGACGAACUUGACUACAGCAAUGUGCUGGAGACUCAUUGCUCGCAAAGUUCAGACUGCAAUAUGGAUUAAAGAUAAUAAUCAGCCCUCUUGCCUUCUGCAAAAUGCAGAACAAAAGCUUAUAGAUGUCUGUGAUGUGGAUGAUGAGUCUAAACCUUCAUGGAAUAUCCCACUUAAGAACUGUAUACAAGUCAGAAAUUCGAACGCAGAAUCUCAGAAGCUACCUCCAAGUAACGACCGCCUUUCAGUGUUUUCUGAAAGGCUGAACAAGAUAGGUAUAAACCGGGAUGAAUUUACAUCAGAUUCUAUCUACUGGCAAGAUCAGAUUCGUCAUUACUGGAGACUGAUGAAUGUCAACCAAACAGAAAUACGCAACGUGAUGGAUAUGAAUGCCUUUUAUGGUGGAUUUGCUGUUGCAUUGAACAACUUUCCUGUUUGGGUAAUGAAUGUAGUUCCAGCAAGCAUGAAGAACACCUUAUCUGGAAUUUAUGACCGGGGUUUGAUUGGAACUUUUCAUGAUUGGUGUGAACCAUUUUCAAGUUAUCCUCGUACAUAUGAUCUUUUACACGCCAACUACCUGUUCUCCCACUACAAAAACAAAGGGGAUGGUUGUGUAUUGGAGGAUAUCAUGUUGGAGAUGGAUCGUCUUGUACGGCCACUGGGAUUUAUUAUCAUUAGGGAUGAGGAACAUAUUAUGUCAAGAAUUAACGAGUUAGCCGGAAAAUUCCUUUGGGAUGUAGAGUCACAAUUGCUAGAGAACAAAGAAAAGAAGAUGGAAACUGUUUUAAUUUGUAGAAAAAAGUUUUGGGCAAUCCUCUAAGAUUUGUACAUAUUGGUUUAUGCCAUGAUUAUGAUUCUAGUGCAGCUCUAUUCACCGUUCAAGCUAAUGUACUAAAUAAAAACACAUGGUACAUAUUUGCAUGUCUGGUGAAAAGAAUCAUGGAAAAUUUUAUUUUUGGAAGGAAACAUGGCAGCAAGGCAGCCAUGUGAGCUGUGACAAUGUAGUGAUCACAUUUCAAAACGUAUGUUUCGAAAUUUGUCAAAAUAGACAAUGGAAUCCUAUCUUCCGAAAUUAUAAUACGUAUGGCAAUGCUAUUUUUCGAGAUGUAAAAAAAAAGGAAUUCACAUUGGGCUGUUUCGGAAAAUAGGAUCCCUUCAAGACCAGUUCUGGAACGUAUCUUCUGAACCGUCUUGAGGGGUAUUUUUGAAACAUUGGGGCUUGGAAGAGCAAUUAAUGGGGUCUAAAGAGCAAUUUUCUUCUUUUUUUUGAGGCUAAAGCUGAAAAUUUGUUUUUUUUUUUACAUGUAAAACAAAAGUUGAUACUACUUCUUGGAAGCCCUUUUGUUAAAUUUACUUUUACAUUUCUAUAAAAUAUUUUAUAAAUUACAUGA